AUGAACGCUGGCGGCGUGCCUAUACAUGCAAGUCGAACGAGGUGCUUGAGUAGCAAUACAAGAGUAUCCUAGUGGCGAACGGGUGAGUAACGCGUGGAUGACCUGCCCCAAAGUGUGGGAUAACAGUCCGAAAGGAUUGCUAAUACCUCAUGUGGUUAUCGGUUUUAGAAAGCGAUAACUAAAGCAGCAAUGCGCUUUGGGAGGGAUCUGCGUCCCAUCAGCUAGUUGGUGAGGUAAUGGCUCACCAAGGCGACGACGGGUAGGGGACCUGAGAGGGUGGCCCCCCACAAUGGAACUGAAACACGGUCCAUACACCUACGGGUGGCAGCAGUAGGGAAUAUUGCUCAAUGGGCGAAAGCCUGAAGCAGCAACGCCGCGUGUGCGAUGAAGGCCUUCGGGUCGUAAAGCACUUUUCUGAGAGAUGAGAAAGGACAGUAUCUCAGGAAUAAGUCUCGGCUAACUACGUGCCAGCAGCCGCGGUAAAACGUAGGAGGCGAGCGUUAUCCGGAUUCACUGGGCGUAAAGCGCGUGCAGGCGGUUCGGUAAGUUGGGCGUGAAAUCUCUUGGCUUAACUAGGAGAGGUCGUUCAAUACUACCGGGCUUGAGAGUGGUAGAGGAAGAUGGAAUUCCAGGUGUAGUGGUGAAAUGCGUAGAUAUCUGGAGGAACACCAGUGGCGAAAGCGAUCUUCUGGACCAUUUCUGACGCUCAGACGCGAAAGCUAGGGUAGUAAACGGGAUUAGAGACCCCGGUAAUCCUAGCCGUAAACGAUGUAAACUGGCGUCGGUGGCUUAAACU
rnacentral:rRNA from 1 species